rnacentral:rRNA from 1 species
UAGGGAAUCUUCCGCAAUGGGCGAAAGCCUGACGGAGCAACGCCGCGUGAGUGAUGAAGGUCUUCGGAUCGUAAAACUCUGUUAUUAGGGAAGAACAAAUGUGUAAGUAACUAUGCACGUCUUGACGGUACCUAAUCAGAAAGCCACGGCUAACUACGUGCCAGCAGCCGCGGUAAUACGUAGGUGGCAAGCGUUAUCCGGAAUUAUUGGGCGUAAAGCGCGCGUAGGCGGUUUUUUAAGUCUGAUGUGAAAGCCCACGGCUCAACCGUGGAGGGUCAUUGGAAACUGGAAAACUUGAGUGCAGAAGAGGAAAGUGGAAUUCCAUGUGUAGCGGUGAAAUGCGCAGAGAUAUGGAGGAACACCAGUGGCGAAGGCGACUUUCUGGUCUGUAACUGACGCUGAUGUUCGAAAGCGUGGGGAUCAAACAGG